rnacentral:rRNA from 12 species
UAAACGACUCUCGGCAACGGAUAUCUCGGCUCUCGCAUCGAUGAAGAACGUAGCGAAAUGCGAUACUUGGUGUGAAUUGCAGAAUCCCGUGAACCAUCGAGUUUUUGAACGCAAGUUGCGCCCAAAACCAUUAGGUCGAGGGCACGCCUGCCUGGGCGUCUCAC